rnacentral:ribozyme from 1 species
AUAUGCAUUGCCUGUGAAGGUAGUGCAUAUUUUUAUUAUUAGAUCAUCAGAAGAUGACAAGCAUGUGGGGCGUAAGUAAUUAUAUAGACAUUUAUAUUUAUUAAAUACGACAUAUAAAUAUAUUUGGACAUUCGUACUUAUAUAAUUAUGAUCGUGCAGACGUUAAAAUCAUGU